rnacentral:rRNA from 1 species
UGAAUACGAGACGCUACGGCGUCGAAGCAGUCUAUGUCAUACUUCCAAGAAAAGCUUGCACUGUCAUAAACAAAUAAUGCCUGUACCAUAACCGACACAGGUGGGUAGGUAGAGUAUACUAAGGGGCGCGAGAUAACUCUCUCUAAGGAACUCGGCAAAAUGACUCCGUAACUUCGGGAGAAGGAGUGCCUUAUUUAUAAGGUUGCAAUAACAAGAUCCAAGCAACUGUUUACCAAAAACACAGGUCUCCGCUAAGUCGUAAGACGAUGUAUGGGGGCUGACGCCUGCCCAGUGCCAGAAGGUUAAAGAAGUCGGUUAGCAUUAGCGAAGCUGGUAACUGAAGCCCUGGUGAACGGCGGCCGUAACUAUAACGGUCCUAAGGUAGCGAAAUUCCUUGUCGGGUAAGUUCCGACCCGCACGAAAGGCGUAAUGAUUUGGAUACUGUCUCGGAGAGGGACUCGGUGAAAUAGACUUGUCUGUGAAGAUGCGGACUACCUGCACCAGGACAGAAAGACCCUAUGAAGCUUUACUGUAACUUGAAAUUGAAAUUGGACUUUAUUUGCGCAGUAUAGGUGGGAGGUGUUGAGAGUAUUCUUGCGGGAAUAUUGGAGCCAUCAGUGAGAUACCACUCUUGUAAUGUUAGAUUUCUAACUUUGUAUCAUUAUCUGGUCAAAGGACAGUUUCAGGCGGGCAGUUUGACUGGGGCGGUCGCCUCCUAAACGGUAACGGAGGCGCACAAAGGUUUCCUCUGAACGGGUAGAAAUCGUAUCUAGAGUGUAAAGGCAUAAGGAAGCUUGACUGUGAGACCUACAAGUCGAGCAGGGACGAAAGUCGGUCUUAGUGAUCUGACGGUGCUGAGUGGAAAGGCCGUCACUCAACGGAUAAAAGUUACUCUAGGAUAACAGGCUGAUCUCCCCCAAGAGUUCACAUCGACGGGGAGGUUUGGCACCUUGAUGUCGGCUCAUCGCAUCCUGGGGCGGUAGUACGUCCCAAGGGUUGGGCUGUUCGCCCAUGAAAGCGGUACGCGAGCUGGGUUCAGAACGUCGUGAGACAGUUCGGUCCAUAUCCGGUGUAGGCGUUAGAAUAUUGAGAGGAGCCUUCUUUAGUACGAGAGGACCGAGAAGGACAUACCUCUGGUGUACCAGUUAUCGUGCCAACGGUAAACGCUGGGUAGCUAUGUAUGGAGAGGAUAACCGCUGAAAGCAUCUAAGUGGGAAGCCCACCUCAAGAUAAGUACUCCC